ensembl:snRNA U2 U2 spliceosomal RNA
AUCACUUCUCAGCCUUUUGGCUAAGAUCAAGUGUAGAAUCACCAGAAUAAAGUUUAACCAAAUAUCUGGGCACCCUGU